GGGGUGCUCGAGUGGCGAACGGGUGAGUAACACGUGAGUAACCUGCCCUUGACUUUGGGAUAACUUCAGGAAACUGGGGUUAAUACCGGAUAGGAGCUCCUGCUGCAUGGUGGGGGUUGGAAAGUUUCGGCGGUUGGGGAUGGACUCGCGGCUUAUCAGCUUGUUGGUGGGGUAGUGGCUUACCAAGGCUUUGACGGGUAGCCGGCCUGAGAGGGUGACCGGCCACAUUGGGACUGAGAUACGGCCCAG
rnacentral:rRNA from 1 species